rnacentral:rRNA from 1 species
GAUGAACGCUGGCGGCGUGCCUAAUACAUGCAAGUCGAGCGAAGCGGGGACGGGUGAGUAACACGUGGAUAACCUCCUAUAAGGCUGGGAUAACUUCGGGAAACCGGAGCUAAACCGGAUACUUAGAGAUGGAGCAGCGCUGCAUUAGCUGGUGGGUAAGGUAACGGCUUACCAAGGCAACGAUGCAUAGCCGACCUGAGAGGGUGAUCGUCCACACUGGACCUGAGACCCGGCCCAGACUCCUACGGGAGGCAGCAGUAGGGAAUCUUCCGCAAUGGGCGAAAGCCUGACGUAGCCACGCCGCGUGUGUGAUGAAGGUCUUCGGAUCGUAAAACUCUGUUAUUAGGGAAGCGUUACCUAUUCAGAAAGCCACGGCUAACUACGUGCCAGCAGCCGCGGUAAUAC